UUAUUUGAUAGUACCUUACUACAUGGAUACCUGUGGUAAUUCUAGAGCUAAUACAUGCUAAAAACCCCGACUUCAGGAAGGGGUGUAUUUAUUAGAUAAAAAACCAACGCCCUUCGGGGCUCCUUGGUGAAUCAUAAUAACUUAACGAAUCGCAUGGCCUUGCGCCGGCGAUGGUUCAUUCAAAUUUCUGCCCUAUCAACUUUCGAUGGUAGGAUAGUGGCCUACCAUGGUGGCAACGGGUAACGGGGAAUUAGGGUUCGAUUCCGGAGAGGGAGCCUGAGAAACGGCUACCACAUCCAAGGAAGGCAGCAGGCGCGCAAAUUACCCAAUCCCGAUACGGGGAGGUAGUGACAAUAAAUACUGAUACGGGGCUCUUUUGGGUCUCGUAAUUGGAAUGAGAACAAUUUAAAUCCCUUAACGAGGAACAAUUGGAGGGCAAGUCUGGUGCCAGCAGCCGCGGUAAUUCCAGCUCCAAUAGCGUAUAUUAAAGUUGUUGCAGUUAAAAAGCUCGUAGUUGAACCUUGGGUCUGGCUGGCCGGUCCGCCUCACCGCGAGUACUGUCCGGCUGGACCUUUCCUUCUGGGGAACCUCAUGGCCUUCACUGGCUGUGGGGGGAACCAGGACUUUUACUGUGAAAAAAUUAGAGUGUUCAAAGCAGGCCUUUGCUCGAAUACAUUAGCAUGGAAUAAUAGAAUAGGACGUGCGGUUCUAUUUUGUUUGGUUUCUAGGACCGCCGUAAUGAUUAAUAGGGAUAGUCGGGGGCGUCAGUAUUCAGCUGUC
rnacentral:rRNA from 1 species